AACUUUCAACAACGGAUCUCUUGGCUCCUGCAUCGAUGAAGAACGCAGCGAAAUGCGAAAAGUAAUGUGAAUUGCAGAAACUGAAUCAUCGAAUCUUUGAACGCACCUUGCACCCUCUGGUAUUCCGGAGGGUAUGCCUGUCUGAGUGUCUU
rnacentral:rRNA from 1 species